rnacentral:lncRNA from 1 species
CACCCUGUAGAAAGGCUGUGACCAGGUCUGGAAAGAGAGGGUUGGGAGAGAAACUUACGGCAGGCUGGAGGGUGGAGGGCCAGGAAGGCCUGGCCCUGGGAUAAAGAAUCUGCCAGCUACAUACCCAGGGCUGACGAGGCCCUCCCCUCUGAACAUGUUCACGCGGUGAUGUGGAAAGAAUCUGAUGUGUGGCUGACAGAUAAACACCCUCUCCUGCUCAGAGGCUCUGGGGUGAGGUUGGGGUGUGGCUCCUGGCUCUGCCACUUCCCAGCUGGCACCUUAGGGCAAGAGGACUCACCUCUCUGAGCUGCAGUUUCUCUGCUACAAAACGAGGAUAAUGGUUAAACCUAUUUCAGUGUCCAUGAAGAUGAGACACUAUGAAAAAUGCCUUGCAAAGUACUGGUGGAACAAACACUUUUAAAGUGUGCGUUUCCCUCUUCAAGCCCCAAAGCCAGAAAACUAAGGAAUAGGACAGAACCUUCCUUCCAGCCUGAAGGCACGUGCUCUCAGGCCUGGGAGCUGCGUUAGCUCCUGUGACUGACUCCAUGUCAGCGUUCCAUCCCUGCAGGAACCCCAUGAGUCUCUUUUUAAGAGUCCUGCUCCUUGCCAAACCUCAGACCCAGCCUUCCACCCUUCUCGCGGGGCCUUGGGUCCCCAGUCUGCCUGGCUUCUGUGUUGGUCUCCAGCCUGGCCUCUGUGCAGGCUGUGGGCACCAGUGCCAGGCCCGGAGUUCUCCCCGGGCACCUUACUUUGUGGAUAGGUCAA